GGUUGACCUCGGAUCAGGUAGGAAUACCCGCUGAACUUAAGCAUAUCAAUAAGCGGAGGAAAAGAAACCAACAGGGAUUGCCCUAGUAACGGCGAGUGAAGCGGCAACAGCUCAAAUUUGAAAUCUGGCCCCUGGGUCCGAGUUGUAAUUUGUAGAGGAUGCUUUUGGUGCGGUACCUUCCGAGUUCCCUGGAACGGGACGCCAUAGAGGGUGAGAGCCCCGUCUGGUUGGAUACCAAGCCUCUGUAAAGCUCCUUCGACGAGUCGAGUAGUUUGGGAAUGCUGCUCUAAAUGGGAGGUAUAUGUCUUCUAAAGCUAAAUAUUGGCCAGAGACCGAUAGCGCACAAGUAGAGUGAUCGAAAGAUGAAAAGCACUUUGAAAAGAGGGUUAAACAGUACGUGAAAUUGUUGAAAGGGAAGCGCUUGUGACCAGACUUGGGCCCGGUUAAUCAUCCACCGUUCUCGGUGGUGCACUUGGCCGGCCCAGGCCAGCAUCAGUUCGGCGCGGGGGAUAAAGGCGUCGGGAAUGUGGCUCCCCCGGGAGUGUUAUAGCCCGUCGUGCAAUACCCUGCGCUGGACUGAGGUUCGCGCAUCUGCAAGGAUGCUGGCGUAAUGGUCAUCAGCGACCCGUCUU
rnacentral:rRNA from 1 species